rnacentral:lncRNA from 1 species
GGAAAAUUGACUCCAGGGGGUCAGGAGGAUUCAAGGACACCCCCCACCACUGUCUCUCUCCAGGAGAGCCCACACGAUGAAGACCCCCAAGCAGUGACGUAUGCCAAGGUGAAACACUCCAGACCUAGGAGAGAAAUGGCCUCCCCUCCUUCCCCACUGUCCGAAGAAUUCCUGGACACAAAGGACAGACAGGCGGAAGAGGACAGGCAGAUGGACACUGAGCCUGCUGCAUCUGAAGCCCCCCAGGAUGUGACCUAUGCCCAGCUGAACAGCUUGACCCUCAGAUGGGAGGCAAUUGAGCCUCCUCCAUCCCAGGAAGGGCCCUCUCCAGCGGUGCCCAGCAUCUACGCCACUCUGGCCAUCCACUAGCCCAGGGGGGGACGCAGACCCCACACUCCACGGAGUCUGGAAUGCAUGGGAGCUGCCCCCCAGUGGACACCAUUGGACCCCAGCCAGCCUGGAUCUACCCCAGGAGACUCUGGGAACUUUUAGGGGUCACUCAAUUCUGCAGUAUAAAUAACUAAUAUCUCUACAAUUUUGAAAUAAAGCAACAGACUUCUCAAUAAUCAAUGAAGUAGCUGAGAAAACUAAGUCAGAAAGUGCAUUAAACUGAAUCACAAUGUAAAUAUUACACAUCAAACGAUGAAAUUGGAAAACUACAAGCCACGAAUGAAUGAAUUAGAAAAGAAAAAAAGUAGGAAAUGAAUGAUCUUGGCUUUCCUAUAAGAAAUUUAGGGCAGGGCGCGAUGGCUCACGCCUGUAAUUCCAGCACUUUGGGAGGCCGAGGCGGGCAGAUCACGAGUUCAGGAGAUCGAGACCAUCCUGGCCAACAUGGUGAAACCCUGUCUCUCCUAAAAAUACAAAAAUUAGCUGGGUGUGGUGGUGGGCGUGCCUGUAAUCCCAGCUAUUUGGCAGGCUGAGUCAGGAGAAUCGCUUGAACCAGGGAGUCAGAGGUUUCAGUGAGCCAAGAUCGCACCACUACUCUCCAGCCUGGCGACAGAGGGAGACUCCAUCUCAAAUUAAAAAAAAAAAAAGAAAGAAAGAAAAAGAGAAAAAAGAAAUUUAGAAGAAUAACAAGUUAUUCCAAAUGAAGGCAUAAGAAAGGGAAUAAUAACAAUAAUAAGAGGAGUUGUUCAUGAGGAAAAACCAAAGCUUGAAAAUUCAACAAAGCCAGUGAAGCUCAUUCUUGAAAACAUGAAUCACACUCAUGAAUUCUAACUACAAUGAGCAAGAGAAAGAAAGAGCAGGCACGCAUUUCCAUAUGGGAGUGAGUCAGCAGACAGCCCUACAGAUCCUACACACAUUUUCAAAAACUAACAAUGGAACAGGCGGCAAACCUAUGCCAACAUAUUAGAAAUUGCAGAUUAAAUAGAUGAAAUAUUCUAAACUGGAGUUUACGUAAUGAACAUAAGAGUAAUCAGAGAAUCUGACUCAUUUUAGAUGUGUAUGUGUGUAUAUAUGUGUGUGUGUGUGAAAAACAUUGAUUAUAAUAAAAAUGAUCCCAUG